rnacentral:lncRNA from 12 species
CUGUAACUCAAGGCAUGAAGGACCAUCAACACUGUCUUUAGAGCUCUUGGGGUUUCAUACAACAUUUCUACUUCAAGAGAAAAGAACAGAAAACUUCAAAACUGAAAGAUGUAAAGAGACAAGAGCCUACUGCAGAAGGCACAGACAGCAUUCCUAAAUGGAAAAAAACCCUCUUUCUAGAACCAGAAGAUUGUCUGGAGAUUGGUGGGCCAGAGCUACAUGCUGUUUCUUGAAGGACAAUGACCCAAAUAUCAAAUGAGCUCAAGAAGCAUUAAGGGCUCCCAGAAAUGGUAUUUUUGAUUCAAAACACUCUGGGUCAAACUCAUGAAGUCCUAUACAGCUGAAGACUAUGCAGGCACAGCCAGCCUGAUCCAAGGCAUGGGAGCAGCAAGUGGCACCUUUCACUCCUGGAGCUGUUCUGCACUGCUGAACCACCUCCCCCUCACUCAGGCCAUGCUCUCUGCAGGCUGCACAGUGAACCCAUAGACCCUACAUAGCUGGAGCAGUGCCGGAGGGAAGGAGCAGCAACUAAAUGGGACUGGAAAGAAAAAUGAGCUGAUAGCACGUUCAGAAUUCCUUUUAGCCUAUGGUGGAGUUCUGAGCAGCACCAAUAGAGUCUUUCACAAGAACGGGAGCUGAUUCCCAGCUUCCCAGGGGAUUCCAUUGGGAGCCACGGCCCAACAGCACCACCUGCCUCAGGCGAGGACCUGCCUCCUGGUAAGAACAAGGUUUGCAUGGCAUUCUCAGCAUCCCUUUCGAAUCCUCUGGUCUGGGAAAAGCGUUACUCUCCCAUCCCUGUCCUGCCCCAACAAUCAGAAUUUGUUUUUCC